AUACGUUUAUGUAGUAAGUUUAUGUAAAGCUAGCAUCUACUAACAUGUAUCAAGGUCAUGAAUUACUCCGGUAAAACAUGAUGGAACAAGAUGGCUAGCAAAGGGACAUAUUCUUAACAUGGCAAAGUAAAACACAUACAUGUAUAAAAAGCAUAUGUUCGGCCAUAGAGCUUUUUAUCUUUUAAAUGAGUAAGUUCAACCCUGUAAAGGAAUAAGAUGGACAAGACAAAGAAAGCUGUGGUUUUCUUUAUUCUGUUGUUUUAUCAUCAAUUAAAUCCCGUUGAGCCAACACGAUUAUGCCUUCAACUACAGGCUACCGUGGCCAUUUUUGCAACUAUAGUUUUUACUUCAGAUUAUGUUGGAGGAAAAGAUGUAUCUUUAGAAAAAGUCAUCCUGUUUAUAGCAGCAUAUCUUUUAGCACAAUGUCCGAAAGAAGGAAACACUCACACAGAUGAAGUCCCUGUAACGACCACUACUACUACUACUACUUCUACUACGACCAAACCCCCGCCACCACCUCCAAACAGAUAAAACUCAUUGCAAUGAGUCUUGUCUUCUAUUUGUAUACAAUAAAAUAUUUUGGAAUGUGAAAGAAUGUUUUAAUUUUCUUAUUGCGUGUGUUUAAUUUGUUGAAAACAAUUACUAUAUUUAUUAUCAAAUUAUAUCUCU